rnacentral:rRNA from 1 species
GUGAGGUAACGGCUCACCAAGGCAACGACGGGUAGCUGGUCUGAGAGGACGAUCAGCCACACUGGGACUGAGACACGGCCCAGACUCCUACGGGAGGCAGCAGCAGGGAAUAUUGCACAAUGGGCGAAAGCCUGAUGCAGCGACGCCGCGUGGGGGAUGAAUGCCUUCGGGUUGUAAACCCCUUUCAGGAGGGACGAAGCGAAAGUGACGGUACCUCCAGAAGAAGCCCCGGCCAACUACGUGCCAGCAGCCGCGGUAAUACGUAGGGGGCGAGCGUUGUCCGGAUUUAUUGGGCGUAAAGAGCUCGUAGGCGGCUCAACAAGUCGGCCGUGAAAGCCCGAGGCUCAAUCUCGGGACGCCGGUCGAAACUGUUGUGGCUAGGGUCCGGUAGAGGAGAGUGGAAUUCCCGGUGUAGCGGUGAAAUGCGCAGAUAUCGGGAGGAACACCAGUAGCGAAGGCGGCUCUCUGGGCCGGCACCGACGCUGAGGAGCGAAAGCUAGGGGAGCAAACAGGAUUAGAUACCCUGGUAGUCCUAGCCGUAAACGUUGGGUACUAGGUGUGGCGGAUUCAUUGACAUCUGCCGUGCCGAAGCUAACGCAUUAAGUA